GGUACGCCUCCCUAUGGAAGGGCUGUCUCACUCUCUACACCGGCAGGAACGGAGACCUCAGGAAGAUCGGAGAGUUCUGUAUGGUGUUCUCUGAGGUGCCGAACUACAGUGACCCGAACCCGGAACUCCUGGCCCAGAUACAGCAGGCGAACAAGACCACCGUGAAGCCAGAACAGCAGACCAUCCAUUACAACGACCAGACACCUCCAGCACCAGCACUGGCACCAGC